rnacentral:sRNA from 1 species
CUUCUUCGAUCUGCUGCGGGCAGAUGAAAUGGAUGUGGGUGUCAACGCCGCCGGCCGUGACGAUCAUGCCUUCGCCGGCGAUGAUCUCGGUGGCGCCGCCGAUGGCUAUGGUGACGUCGGGCUGGAUGUCCGGAUUGCCGGCCUUGCCGAUGCCGGCGAUCUUGCCGCCCUUGAGGCCGAUGUCAGCCUUGACGAUGCCCCAGUGGUCGACGAUCACCGCAUUGGUGAUGACGGUGUCCAUGACGUCUUUGUAGUUGCGCUGCGACUGGCCCAUGCCGUCGCGGAU